AUUGAACGCUGGCGGCAUGCCUUACACAUGCCAGUCGAACGGCAGCAUGAUCUAGCUUGCUAGAUUGAUGGCGAGUGGCGAACGUGUGAGUAAUACAUCGGAACGUGCCCUGUAGUGGGGGAUAACUAGUCGAAAGAUUAGCUAAUACCGCAUACGACCUGAGGGUGAAAGUGGGGGACCGCAAGGCCUCAUGCUUUAGGAGCGGCCGAUGUCUGAUUAGCUAGUUGGUGAGGUAAAGGCUCACCAAGGCGACGAUCAGUAGCUGGUCUGAGAGGACGAUCAGCCACACUGGGACUGAGACACGGCCCAGACUCCUACGGGAGGCAGCAGUGGGGAAUUUUGGACAAUGGGCGAAAGCCUGAUCCAGCAAUGCCGCGUGUGUGAAGAAGGCCUUCGGGUUGUAAAGCACUUUUGUCCGGAAAGAAAUGGCUCUGGUUAAUACCUGGGGUCGAUGACGGUACCGGAAGAAUAAGGACCGGCUAACUACGUG
rnacentral:rRNA from 1 species